UACGUAGGGUGCGAGCGUUUGUCCGGAUUUAUUGGGCGUAAAGAGCUCGUAGGCGGUUUGUCGCGUCGGCCGUGAAAUCUCCACGCUUAACGUGGAGCGUGCGGUCGAUACGGGCAGACUUGAGUUCGGUAGGGGAGACUGGAAUUCCUGGUGUAGCGGUGAAAUGCGCAGAUAUCAGGAGGAACACCGGUGGCGAAGGCGGGUCUCUGGACCGAUACUGACGCUGGAGGAGCGAAAGCGUGGGGAGCGAACAGG
rnacentral:rRNA from 1 species